CUUACAUGUACAAGGUGCUAACAUUUACAUGUACAAGGUGCUAACAUUUCCUAUGUGUACAUGUUCCUGACUUAUCUUACAUGUACAAGGUGCUAACAUGUCCUACAUGUCCAAGGUCUUAGCAUAUCUGACAUGUACAUGAUGUAAACAUCUUACAUGUACAUGGGUUCUUACAUAACCUACAUGUACAUGGUGCUUACAUAUCCUGAUAUAUCCUGCAUGUACAUUGUGCUUACAUAUCCUGACAUAUCCUACAUGUACAUGGUGCUAACAUAUCCUAAUGUAAAUGGUGCUAACAUAUCCUAACAUAGUCUAAAUGUACAUGGUGACUACGUACCACACUUUAUGUGGUGCUAUCAGAUCAUACACCUGUCUGGUGCUAUCAGAUCAUACACAUUCCUG